rnacentral:misc_RNA from 1 species
AGGGACAUCUCCUGAAAAUAAGUUGUGAAAGGCAGUCCAGUAAAUACAAAUUAAAUAUUAACCUGACUGCCGACCUUAAUUGAUUAAAGCCACAAGUCAACAUUUGAGCUUAUUGCCAGUCCGUAUAAGCUUGUAUGAGGUGAUUUCAUGUUGCAAUCAGUGACAUGCAAAUUAGAGAAGCAAAAUACAGAUUUUAUCGGAGGAUCAAAUCAUUUUCAUAUGCUGAAAAAUUGGUAGCAAAAUUCCUAUCAAUCAAAAGUGCAGAAGUCCCACGUUGUGCAUAACAUAACAAGGCAUUUUUCCUUUUUCUGAAAAAAGAAACAGCUGGUCAUAGGAAAUUUAGGAAUAGCCCUUAGAAAAUACAGAAUAAAGCACUUCCAAAUUCCACCUAGAGAUGGAUUGGAAACAAGCCAUAAAACAAACAAAUGUGAAGUAACAUCCUUCCAAAUUCCAACUGACCCUGAAUUAUUUGGAAGCAAAGACAUGACUCAAUUUGAAAAAGUAAUAAGGUUCCUCAAAAGGAAAAGCACAUGGUUUUAAAUCACGGCCUGUGGCCGCAUUUGCAAAUAUUGAAACAAGCCUGUACCAGCACUGACAUAACGGCAACGGCCUAUCACUAUGCCAAUUUUUUUGAAAAAUUUGCAAAA